UACGGAGGGUGCAAGCGUUAUCCGGAUUUAUUGGGUUUAAAGGGUCCGUAGGCGGACUCGUAAGUCAGUGGUGAAAUCUCACAGCUUAACUGUGAAACUGCCAUUGAUACUGCGGGUCUUGAGUGUUGUUGAAGUAGCUGGAAUAAGUAGUGUAGCGGUGAAAUGCAUAGAUAUUACUUAGAACACCAAUUGCGAAGGCAGGUUACUAAACAACAACUGACGCUGAUGGACGAAAGCGUGGGGAGCGAACAGG
rnacentral:rRNA from 1 species